AUGACCGGCUCCUGGCGAAUCCCUCUCCGACUCUCGGCAAACGUCUCGCCCCGUUUGGCGCUAAAUGUCGCUUGCCCUCCCAGCCACCGGGAGCCAGGCAAACCCACAAAGGGAUUUUGUUCCUUGUGGGGCUUGUUCCAAGCUUCUCCCAGGGCACGCCGUUAAUCCCGGAAAGCCUGACUGACCCCAGGAAACCCGGCUGCCCCCCGCAGCGGCUGCCUGCAGACAUGUCCCCAGUCUGUGGGACACCCACGCGUGUGACAGCGUCAAAGACACAGGGAGGUGUCCAAGGCCAGGCUGGGAAGCGGUGGCAGAGGAGGGAGCUGGAUGCAGGCAGUGUCCAGGCACUGGGUUUCCCUCUCCAUGCCCCUGGGGAAGGUCCCGGACACCUGCAAGCCUGUGGAAAGUCAUCUCGAAGCUGGUUUGCUGGCAGUGAUCAGUCCAUGCCCACCUCGGGACUGACCUGGGGAUGCUUUUGCCGGUGCCUGCUGCCACCUUCUGCCCCAAGGUCUCCAUCCCCAGGAGGUUCCCCGUCCCCCUCCCCAGCAGUGACUGCUGCUGCUCUGAGCCUCUCCAGCACUCACGUUUCACCAGCCAUAAAAGUGUCUGGAGGAGGAAAGGGAGCGGCGGCGUGUCGGGCCAGGGGAGGGAGCAGUGUCUGUCCCUGCUGCCACCCCAGACCUUGUCCCACCACCCUGGGCAGGCGGCUGCUGGUCCCCCUGCAGUGGCCCGUCCCCUGCCUCACCCUCCCCCUGCCCUGCGUGGCUGGAGAAUGGCCCAAAAUGGAUCAAAGAGCCACCGAGAGAAAGCGAGCUGGCAGCAAUUCCCCAGCCCGUGAGCAGGAGGUGGGGUGUCCGUCACACAGGGCUGCCAGACGAGGCACAGGGACCACGGAGCGUUUUGUGGGGACCCAGAAGGGUGGGGGCACAGCAGCCGUGGGGGGAUCAGAGCCGAGCUCUCCCCUCUCUGCUCCAGCUCAGGCUCAGCCAGCCCUAAGACUCCUGCAGCCCCGUUUCAAGGCUCAGCACAGCGUUUGCUCAUCAACCCACGCUGUGGGCCCCCCUCCUUCUGCCCAGACCCCAAAGAUGGCCAUAACCAUGACGGCUUUGGCCGGGGGUGGGAGCAGACCACGCUGAGCCCUGCAUCCCCAGGAAGGAUGCUCAUCACCACGUUCCCUCUUUUCUUUUCCUCCUGCAUCCCAAACGCCCCAAGCCACCGGUGACCCCGGUGCUGCCACACAGGAGCGUUGCCGGGGGCUUUGAUGCCCAGUGGGUCCGGUGUCCCCUGCGGCAGCCCCCUGGGC
rnacentral:lncRNA from 1 species